rnacentral:rRNA from 1 species
GGCCGCGAAUUCGCCCUUAGAGUUUGAUCAUGGCUCAGGGUGAACGCUGGCGGCAUGUCUAAGGCAUGCAAGUCGAAUGCGAGCUUGCUCGCAUGGCAAACGGGAGAGUAACACGUUGGUAACCUACCUUUAUCUUAGGGAUAACCCGGAGAAAUCUGGAAUAAUACCUAAUAGUCAUGGGGGGACAUAAGUCAUUCCCAUGUAAAGAUUUAUCGGAUAAAGAGGGGCCUACGGCACAUCAGCUUGUUGGUAAGGUAAAAGCUUACCAAGGCUACGACGUGUAGCGGGUGUGAGAGCAUGACCCGUCUCACUGGAACUGAGACACUGUCCAGACUCCUACGGGAGGCUGCAGUCAAGAAUCUUCCUCAAUGGACGAAAAUCUGAAGGAGCAAUGCCGCGUGAUCGAUGAAGCUUUUCGGAGUGUAAAGAUCUUUUAUCAAGGACGAAUUCGUGACGGUACUUGAUGAAUAAGUCACUGCUAACUACGUGCCAGCAGCAGCGGUAAUACGUAGGUGGCGAGCGUUACCCGGAUUGAUUGGGCGUAAAGGGUCCGCAGGCGGUUUGAACAGUCGUUGGUCAAAUCUUGAGGCUUAACCUCAAGACUGCCAAUGAUACUUUUAAACUAGAGACUGGGAGAGGCAAACGGAAUUGCCGGUGUAGUAGUAAAAUGCGUUGAUAUCGGUAGGAACACCAAAAGCGAAGGCAGUUUGCUAGAACAGUUCUGACGCUCAGGGACGAAAGCAUGGGUAGCGAAUGGGAUUAGAUACCCCAGUAGUCCAUGCCGUAAACGAUGGGUACUA